CUUGAUGGAGAGGAUGGUUGAUCUCAUAAGUCACUUGUAUAAGAUACUAAUAUAAAGAUAUGGGUGCUCAUUAAAGAAUGAGUUCAUUGAAUUGAUCCGACUUAAGAAAUAUCUUAUAGAAUCUACUUAUCCGUCAAAAAAUUAUUUUCUUAUAGUGGGAGUUCUGCAUGGAAUCCUUUGACCUGAGACUACCAUAAAACUUUGUAUACAUAAAUCCAUAUUUUGAUUUAUACUCAUUCAUGACUUAGUUAUAUACGAGAUAAUCUAGAUAUGGUAGAAUGUGU
rnacentral:lncRNA from 1 species